rnacentral:rRNA from 1 species
CCCUUAGAUGUUCUGGGCCGCACGCGUGCUACACUGAGUGGAUCAGCGGGUCAGGUUGCGCGAAAGUGUUUCCUAAUCUUGAAAUCCGCUCGUGAUGGGGAUUGACGGUUGCAAUUUUCCGUCAUGAACGAGGAAUACCUUGUAAGCGCGGGUCAUCAUCCCGCGCUGAAUACGUCCCUGCCCUUUGUAUACACCGCCCGUCGCUCCUACCGAUUGAGUGGUCCGGUGAGGCUUUGGGAUCUGAGCGGAAAGAGCGUUUCGCUGUUUCUGCUCGGAAAACUCAGUCGAACCUUAUCAUUUAGAGGAAGGAGAAGUCGUAACA